rnacentral:misc_RNA from 1 species
UCUCCGUAGGUGAACCUGCGGAGGGAUCAUUACAGAGUUCUCGCCCUCGCGGGUAGAUCUCCCACCCACUGUUAUCGUUACUGUGUUGCUUUGGCGGGCCGCCGGGCCCCGCUCGGCCGCCGGCUCCGGCUGGCGCGCGCCCGCCAGAGGCCCAGCAAACUCUGAAUGUUAGUGUCGUCUGAGUACUAUAUAAUAGUUAAAACUUUCAACAACGGAUCUCCUGGUUCUGACAUCGAUGAAGAACGCAGC